UCGUAUCCAUUUUUCUACGGAAGUUCAAAUGGCGGUUUUGAAUGUUUCGCGGGUAAAACAAGAAUUGGGUUUCGCUCUCCGCACUUCUUCACUGGUGCGUUCUCUCUCUCUCUCUCUCUGUCUGUCUUUUGCGUUUCAACACUGGCUUCCAAAGGGAUCGCUCUCAUGCAUGGUGGGGCUUGCCGCUUGUGGUUUCUGCCCUCCCUGCUUUAAUGGCGAUCGUAUGAAAGAAGCGGAACAAAGGAAGAGGAUGCAGGGUACCCUACGUUUCAAGCAGAGGCAGAGCCGGUGGAAUGCAACGAUUCUUUCGGGCUUCAGAGAUCCUUUGGCGGGUUCCCUGGGUUUGUGAGUCCGAGGAACCUAAUGUUGAAUAUCUCGCAGAAGACGAAGACCUUCUAAGAUCGUCCAAUCGGCAGCCUUAGACCUUCUCUCGCUUCAGACGAACCCCUUCGCAUCCUGCUCGCCUCCUUGGCAGCCAUCGGGGGUCUGAUUUUCAGUUGUCGCCGUCUCCUUGUUGGACGUAUUAUUCAUCACCAAAAAUCUACUGAUAACCUAAGAGAUCUGGCGAUCUGGGUUAUGACCAGUUGCAACAACAAUGUAGCAAUGACCACUUUUCUGCUUUGCUUAUUAUGGUAAUUAUGCAAAAUGUAGGAGCGAGUAGACAGGAAUGGAACUUAUGCACUAUACUCUUAUGUUGAGGUUAUUGCUGGACUGUAUGCCAUCUGGUCAAGUUCCUGAAUGUGUUGAUCAAAAAGCUUGGCAAUACUGUAAGUUAGUAACUAAUGUAAAUAUUGAACUGAAAAAUGCUUGGUGGAUUAUCCUAUCUAAAAACAAAGGGUGUUUAUCAAGUAACUGCUUAUGCUUUCUUUAUUCUUGCUGCGGCCUGAGCUUUAACAACCUGACAGGCGAGGUGCCAAAAUCUUUAAGUGCUUGUAAGUGUGUAUGUUUUUAGAUUAUAGAUUUUCUUUUCUGACCAGCAGUUGACAACACGUAAACAAUGUUACAACCAAUACUUUGGCUGUAGGUUUUUGACAGACAACAGCCUGACUCCCACACCAUAUGCAGAAUUGACUACAAAAAAGGCACACCUCAAAAGUAUAUUUCUCCUUGAUAGAUGUGCUUAUCCUUCCGGGGUUAAAUGUUCUAGUAUUGAUGAUGAAACUGUUAUUUCCUUUACUUUUCUUUUGUAAUUUUCUGUUCUCUGCGAGAUGUAUAGUUUGCUUCCUCUUAUUGCCAUGCAUUAUGAACACACUGAGUUGGUAGGAUAGACUUAUAAACAUUGGAUUGCCUUUGGUUUUGAGUUUGAAUCACAAUAACCUAUUUAAUGGUGAUUAUUUUUUCUUGAAAGGCAUUUUCAUCCACUUGAACUUGAUUGUUAAAAUAAAUAUGCCAUUUGCACACACAUGAUGUCAUAAACACGUGUGAGAGGAGAACAGGACAUGUUUGCAGCAAUUGCCAUAUCUGAACAGACUCGUACAGUAAGUAGUGUAUGCUUCAUAUUGAAUCUGCAUAUUAAUUUCAUCAGCUGCUAUUUGUGACUUGAGAAUCUGCAAUUAGUUUUCUUGUACUUAAAAAACUGUGAUUAUCUUAACCACGUAAUGGACAUCAUGUCACAUUGAAGCAUUUAACUUCACUAUUAUUCAUGCUUCAAGUUAUCUUAAUUUGCAGUCCCCAGGUGCAAAGGGCUUAGAUUAGGUGACCUGCUUAUUGCAUUUAUGUCCAGGUGAUUUUCACAUUCAUACUGGCCUUACCAUGCAGGUACUUGUCAUACAAUAGCUUCACAAACGUCUUCUAAUGCAGCAAUUUCUCGUUGCUACAAAGCCUGUAAGAUCUCCCAUACAGUCCCAUGAUUUUCAGAUUCUUUUCAUUCAUUUUGUUCCUCACUGUCACUCGCAGUCAUCAUUACCAUUCCCCGGCAAUCUAGUUAACAAGUGUAAAGGCGCAGGAAAAAGAGUAAAGAGUCUCUCUUUACAUUUUGAACUUUUCACGAUGGAAAUUUCUUCAGAACGAUCAAGCAGCUGGUCUACUACUUGCAUUAACGUCACACAUUAUUGCUUGAAAGAAAUGCUGCGAUAGUAGUAAACCAAAAUGUUAGGUUACUCUGGUUUUUCUUUUAAAACCGAACUCGGAACUGUUCCUCCAAUACCUGGCCUGCGACUUCUUUAAAUGACAUUAUUGUUAAUUUUUCUCGACA